rnacentral:lncRNA from 1 species
AUCAAAAAGACUGUGGUGUGUGUGUGUGAGUGCUGUGUUGAGAUACUGUUGUUGAGGAAGAGUUGCAUUCCAAGUUGCACAAUUUGGCAUGCACAAAUGGGAAAAGAUGUGUACAAAGUUUUUGUGAGCAUCCGCUGUUGUUGAACAUGUUGGAUAUGCCAUUCCUGGUCCAACAUGGACAAAAAAAUGGACACAGAAUUGGUUAAAGGCAAAGCUAAAAGGCCAACACUGGAUUGUGGAGUGUGAUGUGAGCUGUGUUGAGAUACAAUUGUUGAGGAAGAGUUGCAGUUAGUUAAACAACUUGGCAUACACAAACAGGGAAGAAACAUGUACAACAAGGAAAUUCUUGUGAGCAUACGCUGUUGGUGAACAUGUUGGAAAUGCUGUACGGGUGCCAGUGUAGACAAAAAAUGGAAAGCCGAAAGGAUGUGUGAUUUCUUCUUACCAACACAGUGGACUGAAGACAAACCUACUCCAUGAACCACUUUCAAUUCUGCUUUCCAAAUGAAAUAUAGAACUAAAUGCAGUUUAUCUAACGGAAUGGAGUCCAGCAAUAAUGUUGUGAUUACCAGCAGUUCUAAUACGUGAUCUACUCGGCCAGUGAACAGGAGAUAUGAACAUUCAGUUGUAAACCAUUGUGAGUGUUUGUAUGUGGAUUUUUAGAAGAUUUGAACAGCCGGUUAUGAAGCAGUGCAUGGUUUUUUGAGUGGACAUCAAUAUUCAGUUAAAACCAGUGUAUGGAUUUUUGAGCAAAUUAUAAUUGUGUAUUAUCAGAAUGAUAUUUCUGGGGUGUUAGGAAAUCACUUACUUUGACAUUCGGAGAACAGAGACUAUAUGAAUAGUGCAAUUUAAAUUAGUGGAUUAUCAAAAUACUCAGAAAUUUUACCACUUUCUGUUUGUUUUUGAUGACUGGAGUAGAAAACACAAACAGUAACAGUUGACAGUGAAUUUUUUAUUAAAAAAUCAAACGGUGUAAACAGAAAAUUUAAAACUUUUAAGAAAGUGGCUUUUUGUGUGAAAGUGGCACAGUCAGACAUUUUACUGUCUAAAGAACAAGAAAUUUACAGUCAAGUACAAAUAUCAACUGAGGGGUGAGUUACACAUACUUCCUAUGCAGGAAUUGCAGAUAAUCUGUAAUUAUUAAAGCUAGUGUUGACAUUUCGACACAUUACUUACUACUUAAGUUUGCACAACUUAUUUUUGUGCAUUAAACUGGAAUAACUGCAGUUCCUGUAUAUACAGAAGUGCUUAUUGUUUUGUUUUUAGGUCAAUGCAUGAUGUUUUUUUAGCUCACCAGAGCAUAAAGGUGAGCUAUUGUGAACAGUCAUUUCUGGCGUCCUUCAACAUUUGCCUU